rnacentral:rRNA from 1 species
ACAGGUGCUGCAUGGCUGUCGUCAGCUCGUGUCGUGAGAUGUUGGGUUAAGUCCCGUAACGAGCGCAACCCUUGUCCUUAGUUACCAGCACGUUAUGGGGGGCACUCUAAGGAAACUGCCGGUGACAAACCGGAGGAAGGGGGGGAUGACGUCAAGUCAUCAGGGCCCUUACGGCCGGGGCUACACACGUGCUACAAGGGUCGGUACAGAGGGUUGCCAACCCGCGAGGUGGAGCUAAUCUCACAAAACCGAUCGUAGUCCGGAUCGCAGUCUGCAACUCGACUGCGUGAAGUCGGAAUC